GAUGAAGAACGUAGCGAAAUGCGAUAAGUAAUGUGAAUUGCAGAAUUCAGUGAAUCAUCGAAUCUUUGAACGCACCUUGCGCCCUUUGGCUAUUCCGAAGGGCAUGCCUGUUUGAGUAUCAUGAACACCUCAACUCUUCACGGCUUGCCGUGAUGAGUUUGGACUUUGGGGGUCUUGCUGGCCUACGAGCCAGCUCCUCUCAAAUGUAUUAGCUUGCCGGUGUUUGGUGGCAUCACAGGUGUGAUAACUAUCUACGCUUGUGGUUUUCCACUAGGUAACCUUCAGCAAUGGAGGUUCACCGGAGCUCACAAAUGUCUCUCCUUGCCAAGGACAGAUUUUGACCAUUUGAUCUCAAAUCAGGGAGGACUACCCGCUGAACUUAAGCAUAUCAAUAAGCGGAGGA
rnacentral:misc_RNA from 1 species